rnacentral:pre_miRNA from 8 species
UUGCCUGUUUUGGCACUAGCACAUUUUUGCUUUUUUAUAUAUACCUUGAGCAAUUAUGUGUAGUGCCAAUAUGGGACA